rnacentral:lncRNA from 1 species
UCGUUGUUCCGUAUUCAGUUUCCGAUGUCAAUUUCGGGCCUGUUUUAUAACAACUAGCCGGUUACUGCUGAUGAAGAAUAUUGCUAAUGUGAACUUCCUCUCCUGGUGGGAAGGGCGCCAGACGAACGAGGUCAGGGCUGGUAGCACUAGCGAAGGCUUAAUUUGGGAGCAGUCAUGGCAUGGCAGUGUUGUCCAGCUGCUGCUCUCAAAUACGCUUUUGGCAAGCAUCGUUGCCAAUAUCAAGUGGCCUGUUUUGGCCACUGCUAUCGUCGAUGAAAGAAGAUCAUGAACACAUCAUCAUAAUGUUAAGCAGGACAUACGUGACACAUGUGGUUGUCUUGUAUCUUCUUGAAGAUAGAUAAUGUCGUAAAGUCUCCCCGGCCUCUUCAGGUGAAAACCCAAUAACAGUGAAUUGCAUUCAAAGAUAAUAGCAGUGAGGUGAUGGGAGCGUAAUUCAAUCAACAUGGAAGUUACCGUGGUUCUUGGAGAUCUGAUUACAAGUUUG